rnacentral:rRNA from 1 species
GAUGAACGCUGGCGGCGUGCCUAAUACAUGCAAGUCGAGCGACCAGACGAGGAGCUUGCUCCUCUGACGUUAGCGGCGGACGGGUGAGUAACACGUGGAUAACCUACCUAUAAGACUGGGAUUACUUCGGGAAACCGGCGCUAAUACCGGAUAAUAUAUUGAACCGCAUGGUUCAAUAGUGAAAGGCGGUUUUGCUGUCACUUAUAGAUGGAUCCGCGCCGCAUUAGCUAGUUGGUAAGGUAACGGCUUACCAAGGCAGCGAUGCGUAGGCGACCUGAGAGGGUGGACGGCCACACUGGAACUGAGACACGGUCCAGACUCCGACGGGAGGCAGCAGUAGAGAAUCUUCCGCGAUGGGCGAAAGCCUGACGGAGCAACGUCGCGUGAGUGAUGAAGGUCUCCGGAUGGGAAAACGCUGUUAGCAGGGAAGAACAAAUGUGUAAGCAACUAUGCACGUCUUGACGGUACCUGAACAGAAAGCCCCGGCUAACUCCGUG